AUGGACCCCGCCCGCACCCCCAGCGUUUUCCCGCUGUUGUCCGGCGGGGAUUGCAAAGGCCAGGUGAGUUUCGGUUGCUUCGCCGCCGGGUUCUUCCCUCAGCCGGCCACCAUCACCUGGGAGGGCGUGGCCUCAGGUGAGUCCCUCAGCUUCCCGGAAGUGGCCACGGCCAAAAGUCAGUUCGGCCUCAGCUCCCGAGUGAUCAUGGACGCCGAAAAAGCCAAAAACGGAAAAUUCGUGUGCCGGGUGCAGCACAGGAGCAGCAACCAGAAGGAGGAGAUUAAAGACAUUUGCUGCGUCCCAGAGUUCUCCAUCUCGCUGCUGGCCGAUCCCAACCAAUCCCACCUGGACGAGAACCAGGUUCACCUGCUCUGCCAGGUGAGGGGGCGGGGCGCCGCCGACGUCAACCUCACCUGGAUGUUCAACGGUGAGGACAUCGACUUGGGGGCGGAGCUUUCCACCUGCCAGGAGGGCGGCGAGGGUCACGUGACCCUGAGCGGGCGCGCCAACAUCAGCCGGGAAUUAUGGGAUGGAGGCGCCACCUAUACCUGUCAGGCCAGCCACGCCCACGUGGCCAAGCCCCUCCAGGCCUCCAUCAGCACCUUCUGCCAAGGCCCCGCCCCUUCCCCCAGCGUCACCCUCCUCCCUCCCACCCUCCACGACCUCUACCUGUCCUCCAACCCCAACCUCACCUGCGUGGCCACUCGCCUGAAGAACCCCGAGGCCAAAUUCACCUGGAGCCGCUCUUCGGGCGGGGCACUGGGUGUGGUCACUUCCGGCCACGCCCAAAAACUUCCCAGCGGCCUCUACGAGCUCCGCAGCUUUUUGGGGAUUUGCGCCGAGGAUUGGAAUUCCGGCGACACCUUUACCUGCCGGGUGGCGGUCGGAGAGCUGGGGUCGGAGCCGUUGGUCAGCAGCAUCCGGAAGAGCACAGACGCCGCCACCGUCGCUCCCAAAGUUUUCGCCUUCCCGCCCCCGCCGGAAGAACUCUCCCUUUCGGAAACCGCCACCCUCACCUGCCUGGCCACCGGCUUCUCCCCGCGCGACAUCCUGCUCACCUGGACGCAGCGAGACGAGCCGGUUGACUCCGGGAAGUUCUCGGUUUUGGGUCCGGAACCGGACGCGGGAGUUUCCGGAAGGUUCUCGGUGUUUUCCAAGCUGUCGGUGCCGGCGGAGGAGUGGAGGCGCGGCGACGUUUUCGGCUGCGUGGUGGGGCACGAGGGCGUGGCCGGCCUGAAGUUCGUGCAGAGGAAUUUGGAUAAAUCGUCGGCGCGGCCGGCGCAGGUCAACGUCUCGGUGGUGUUGGCGGAUUCCGACCUCGUCUGUUAUUAAAAAUUUUAAUUUUUUUUUUUUUUUUUCCUUUUUUUGGGGGAAUAAAAAGGGAUUUCGGGAAAGCGAAUUUUGGUUUCUGUGGUUUUUUUUUGUUGUUGUUGUUGUUUUUUUGGUUUUUGGCGCGGGGAAGAUGGCGGUCACCGGGCGGGGUGAAAUUUUUUUCUUUUUUUUUUUUUUGGUGUUUUUAUUUAUUUUUCUUUUGGGAGGGGCAGGAAAAUGUGGAUUUUUUUUAAGAGGUGAAAAACGUGGAUUUCAGGAAGCGAAAUUUCUGGAAUUUUUGGGGGAGAAAUGUGGAUUUUUUGGGGAAAAAAUGCGGAUUUUUAGGACGGGAAAAUGUGGAUUUUAGGAAGCGAAAUUUCUGGAAUUUUUGGGGGAGAAAUGUGG